ACGACCUUACUUGAACAGGAUCUGUUCUAUAGGAUCGUACCUCUGUAUCCUUGAGUUCUAAGGAGACAGGAAACUAAGUCUGGUGGAUGAAUUAUGACCAUGUGAUCAGAGCGUGAUUAACAGCAACCAAUUGUUCUUCGGAUCCUUGGUGCAGUAGAGGAUCGUUCCCCAGCUCCUCUGUGAGUUUCGGAUGAUCUCAUGGUUGUCUGACAGACU
rnacentral:snoRNA from 1 species